rnacentral:rRNA from 1 species
UACAGAGGGUGCAAGCGUUGUUCGGAAUUAUUGGGCGUAAAGGGUGCGUAGGCGGUGCGGUAAGUCUCUUGUGAAAUCUCCGGGCUCAACUCGGAGCCUGCUUCCGAAACUGCUGUGCUCGAGUGUGGGAGAGGCGCGUGGAAUUGCAGGUGUAGCGGUGAAAUGCGUAGAUAUCUGCAGGAACACCCGUGGCGAAAGCGGCGCACUGGACCAUAACUGACGCUGAGACGCGAAAGCGUGGGGAGCAAACAGG